CCUACGGGGGGCAGCAGUGGGGAAUAUUGCACAAUGGGGGGAACCCUGAUGCAGCGACGCCGCGUGAGUGAAGAAGUAUUUCGGUAUGUAAAGCUCUGUCAGCAGGGAAGAAGAAAGACGGUACCUGACCAAGAAGCCCCGGCUAACUACGUGCCAGCAGCCGCGGUAAUACGUAGGGGGCAAGCGUUAUCCGGAUUUACUGGGUGUAAAGGGAGCGUAGACGGCAGGGCAAGUCUGGAGUGAAAGGCAGGGGCCCAACCCCUGGACUGCUCUGGAAACUGUCCGGCUGGAGUGCAGGAGAGGUAAGUGGAAUUCCUAGUGUAGCGGUGAAAUGCGUAGAUAUUAGGAGGAACACCAGUGGCGAAGGCGGCUUACUGGACUGUAACUGACGUUGAGGCUCGAAAGCGUGGGGAGCAAACAGGAUUAGAUACC
rnacentral:rRNA from 1 species